GGGAAUUUAGCUCAGUGGUAGAGCGUUUGCCUAGCAAGCACAAGGCCCUGGGUUCGGUCCCCAGCUCU
rnacentral:tRNA from 1 species